UUGAUUGUUUUCUUUAAACUUUAACACAUUAAUCUAUAUGUAUAAAUCUACGUAGUCACCGUCAUCAUCCAUGCAUUUAUAAUGAGUCUUAGCCACGAAUAAAAUUUACUGAUUCGUCAACAAGCGUCAUGUGACAAUUUAUCUACGCGAACGCGCGCAACCGUUGACCGAUUGCCAUUUUGCGCCUGUUUUUCGUUGGAUGAUGUAGGCUAUGUGACGUCCGUUUUCUGAAUUCAACUUCUGCUGAUACUUUUAGAAACCCUAACUUUUAAUCUGAUCGUAUACAAUUUUAUGAAACUACGGAAGUUACCAAUGACCUGAGGGAAGAAAGUUCAACAGCAUUUAGGCAAGUCCACCGUUCUUCUGUAAAGGCACCCUGUAUGCAUAAUUAAAUACGAAACUUAAGCAAGUUUGUAAUGAAGAAGAUGUAGUUGCCAGAAGAGAUGACAACGAUGAGGACGACAGCAAUAUUUUGUGAAUGCGUUUGAUUUGUAGCACAUCCUCUUUAUUGGUUCUGAUACAACAUUCUACUUCGCAAAUGGUUCCAUUGUGACAGAACAGCUAUGAAUUUCCUCUGUCAAGGCUUGAUUCAAAGAGAGUGCAUCCAUCUGCUUUUCUCAAUAUUCAAGAUUUUUAAGUGUGCACUAUGGAGUUUUGUACACUAGACCCCUUGUUUAUUUUUGAUAUUUCUUUGACAUUU
rnacentral:lncRNA from 1 species